CCUACGGGAGGCAGCAGUGGGGAAUAUUGGGCAAUGGGCGCAAGCCUGACCCAGCAACGCCGCGUGAAGGAAGAAGGCUUUCGGGUUGUAAACUUCUUUCCUCAGGGACGAAGCAAGUGACGGUACCUUAGGAAUAAGCCACGGCUAACUACGUGCCAGCCGCCGCGGUAAUACGUAGGUGGAAAGCGUUAUCCUGAUUUAUUGGGUUUAAAGGGUUCGUAGGCGGUUUUUUAAGUCAGCGGUAAAAUGUCCGGGCUCAACCCGGGCCGGCCGUUGAAACUGGGGCUGUUGAGUGGGCGAGAAGUAUGCGGAAUGCGUGGUGUAGCGGUGAAAUGCAUAGAUAUCACGCAGAACUCCGAUUGCGAAGGCAGCAUACCGGCGCCCGACUGACGCUGAGGCACGAAAGCGUGGGGAUCGAACAGGAUUAGAUACCCCUGUAGUC
rnacentral:rRNA from 1 species